rnacentral:rRNA from 1 species
UACGGAGGGUGCGAGCGUUGUUCGGAAUCAUUGGGCGUAAAGGGCGUGUAGGUGGUCUGUUAAGUCAUGUGUGAAAGCCCCCGGCUCAACCGGGGAAGUGCGCAUGAAACUGACAAGCUAGAGUACCAAAGAGGAGAGUGGAAUUCCUGGUGUAGCGGUGAAAUGCGCAGAUAUCAGGAAGAACACCCGUGGCGAAGGCGGCUCUCUGGGUCGGUACUGACGCUGAGACGCGAAAGCGUGGGGAGCGAACAGG